CAUUGAAUUAUCUACCUAUUUUACGUAAUAUAGCGUUCUGAUACAACAUUUUCGGAAUAGAUGUCUUAAUCAAGGCGUGAUAAACAUACAAGUAUUUUUAGGUCUGAUAUCAGAGUUUCGUCUCAAAAUAGAAUAAUUAUUAUCAAAUUGCCAUCUGAUAGCGACCAUAAUCCGAUAAACCUGCAAUAUAAAUGUUGCCGCUUUGUAAAUAUCGCCAGUUACAGAUUGAAUAACUAUUGAUUGCACGUCGUUUGCGAUUAAGACUAUUAAUUAUCACUCGCUUUUCAACCCCUUACCGACAAAUACUAUAACAAUGAACCGUCCAAACAACAUGCCUGGAGCUUUCACCGUCCAAGGAUACUCUAUCGGACCAAACCCCUGUUUUGGACCGAGCAGAUGCUCAGUCAACCCACAUUUUGGGGUACCUGCCCAUCCAUCACCACACUACAACACUUGCUUCGUCUCUGCAUCCUCGCUUAGGAAAGCGUACCCACAGAUGUCUCACCCUAGGAAUAAUGGUUUUAAGUGAUAUGCCUUGAUAAAGGUUAUGUUGAAUCUCGAUUUUUGGAAUAAUUAGAUAUAUAUAGACAUAAGUAUGUGUAAAUGAUAACUAAUUUCUAAGAUACAUAAUAAAGCUAUUAACUCUCA